rnacentral:rRNA from 1 species
GAUGAACGCUGGCGGCGUGCCUAAUACAUGCAAGUCGAGCGACCGGACGAGAAGCUUGCUUCUCUGAUGUUAGCGGCGGACGGGUGAGUAACACGUGGAUAACCUACCUAUAAGACUGGGGUAACUUCGGGAAACCGGAGCUAAUACCGGAUAAUAUUUUGAACCGCAUGAUUCAAAAGUGAAAGACGGUCUUGCUGUCACUUAUAGAUGGAUCCGCGCUGCAUUAGCUAGUUGGUAAGGUAACGGCUUACCAAGGCAACGAUGCAUAGCCGACCUGAGAGGGUGAUCAGCCACACUGGAACUGAGACACGGCCCAGACUCCUACGGGAGGCAGCAGUAGGGAAUCUUCCGCAAUGGGCGAAAGCCUGACGGAGCAACGCCGCGUGAGUGAUGAAGGUCUUCGGAUCGUAAAACUCUGUUAUUAGGGAAGAACAUAUGUGUAAGUAACUGUGCACAUCUUGACGGUACCGAAUCAGAAAGCCACGGCUAACUACGUG